UUAUUAAAAACACUUAAAUUUAAAAAUGAUUUUACGUAAAAAGUUAAUAAAUUUGUGCAAAAACAACUAAUUUUUAUGGAUCUCAUGGAAUUCAGUUCAAUUAUGUGUUAAAACUUGGAAUAUUUAAUAAAUAUGUGACACCGGCGAAAUUUGCAGGUUUGUUGCAGGAAGAAAAUUUGAAAAAAAGACGUAGACAAGCUUUAAAAUACUGAAGUAGAACACACAAAAAUGAACAAGACGAAAAUUUGUCAAAUUUGGAAAUGAAAAUCAUCGUUUUUGGUAACAGCACUUUAAAUUAAGAUCAAAUAAGCAAGAAACGAGGACAAAACAUGCAUCGUUUGAGAAGAAACAAAAGCUUGUCAAGGUAAAAUCUGCACGUAUUUAAAAAUUAAUACUAAAUGUAAG